AUUGCUUUUCAGCCUUUUGGCUAGUAUCAACUAUAUUAUCUGUUCUCAUCAGUUUAAUAUCUGUUACAUUCUCUCUCUGUGCACAAUAUUUUGUGGAUUUUGGAAGCCAAGAGAGGGAAAAGAAACUUGAUCUACCCACUCUGUGCAUCUAACUUGCUGUUGUUGUACCUCCGGGAAUGGUCCGACCCAU